UGAGUAAGAUAAAGCACCAAGGUACCU
rnacentral:piRNA from 1 species